rnacentral:rRNA from 1 species
AUUGAACGCUGGCGGCAGGCCUAACACCUGCAAGUCGAGCGGAGCUGCGGACGGGUGAGUAAUGCCUAGGUAUCUGCCUGGCAGUGUGGGCUAACGUCCGGAAACGAGCGCUAAUACCGCAUCCUAUUAGUUGAGCCUAGGCGGGAUUAGCUCGUUGGUGGGGUAAAGGCCUACUAAGGCGACGAUCCGUAACUGGUCUGAGAGGAUGAUCAGUCACACUGGAACUGAGACACGGUCCAGACUCCUACGGGAGGCAGCAGUGGGGAAUAUUGGACAAUGGGCGAAAGCCUGAUCCAGCCAUGCCGCGUGUGUGAAGAAGGUCUUCGGAUUGUAAAGCACUUUCAGCGGGGAGGCGUUACCCGCAGAAGAAGCACCGGCUAACUCCGUGCCAGCAGCCGCGGUAAUUC